CCCGAGCGCUCUCUCCACUCGCGGGAGCGGCGUUGCCGGGGUCUGAGCCGGAGAUGCCCAAGCGCGGCCGGGGGUCCCGGGACUCAAGCGAUCAAGGUCACGGUGCCAAAGGUCAGGGACACAGCAUGAACCCAGACAUAACAUCUUUGUUUGUAUGUGGUGCUGAGGAUCGAACCCGGGCCGCACGCAUGCCAGAAUCCACUCUGCCGCCAAGGGACUCAACUCGGACCUGACCACUGAGAGCCUCCUGUUGUCUCUGUCAGAGAAAUUGGUUCAGAAACAGGCACGGGACCUCUUCUGAACUGGUGUCUGUGCUCCAGGAGGUCAUUGUUGGCUGUUGGCUGCCUACCCCUGGGUCUCCAAAACCAGCUCACAAUGUGACAGCUGGCUUCAAUCAAAGCAAGCAAGGGACAACCAGAGAUGGGGAGCAAGACUGGAGCCAGAGUCUCCCCGGGCUUAGUCUCAGAGGGGACGUCCAUCACUUCUGUUCCUCAGGAGCAAGUCAUCAAGGCUUCGGUGGAGGGGGUCACACAAGGAUGUGGACACCAGCAGGCUGGAGUGGCCGGGCCCUUGGAGAGCAUGCCUACCCCGCAGAACAAGGAUUCAUUCCCGGCCCAUGACGUGCCCGAGUCUAGAGCCUUGCCCUGUCAGGAACGAGCUACAGGCCUGGGCAAGUGGCUUACCUUCAUGUCCCUACAAUUUCUCAGCUGUUAAAUGGGGAUUAGAUGGCACCAACGGAAAGGCGGCGUUGUUUUACACCCAUUAAGAAAGAAUACCUGUCGCCCACUCAUGGGAACACGCAGCCCUACUUCAGAGAGAGCUAAAUGUGGGGAGAGAAGUGUGACAUUAAUGACACAUGCUAGUAUCGACUUCCUGAAUGAUGGAUGCCAUUUAAGGUUGUGGUGAUGGGAGAAGGCUGCAGACAGGGGCAGGCUCCCCAGACAGUUCUCAUAAGGCAGCCAGUGACGUUAAUCUGUGUCUGCACACUGUGCACAAGACCUUGGGUGAGGCCCAAGAGUGAGGCGGGUAGAAUCUCUGCCCUGGAAAAGGAGGGAUUCUCAGACACAUAAGGAAGUGCCUUGGGAGAGGCCAAGUGCAGGAGGAUGCAUCCUUGAGGAGAAUCUGAAAAACCAGCCUCUACCUCAGACAAAGACCCACAGAGCACUCCGAGGCACAUAUCCACCCUGCUGAGUUCUUUAUCUGCAAAUAACAGGAGAGAUCUGCUGUGCUGGAUGUCCCUGACUCAAUCAGGCUAGGUGGGGACCCAUAGCAACCCCUAGCAGCCACCAAUCUGCAUGGGACAGGGAAAAUACCUGGGAUGCCAGAUGACCCUCCCAGUAGUUUAUGGUGGUUGAUAACAUGUUGGGAAACCAUGUAUUUCAGCAAGUACUCCCCUCGUAGCUUAAACCAAUCAGUUCAACGAAUCCCCCUCUUGUACUAACCAAACACCCCUACCCAACUUGUUCCUGCCAUUGAAUGUGCUAAUCAUGUUUUAGAAUUGUUGUUUGAUUUUCCCGCGGUGGGUGAUGAUUUGCUAAGAGAUGCUAUGAUAUAUGUGAAGACCCUGCCUUCCCCAAAGAGUGUAUAAAAC